GAUGAACGCUAGCUACAGGCUUAACACAUGCAAGUCGAGGGACCGGCGCACGGGUGAGUAACACGUACCCAACCUGCCCUUUACUCCGGGAUAGUCUUUCGAAAGAAAGAUUAAUACCCGAUGUAAAGGAUGGGGAUGCGUUACAUUAGGUUGUUGGUGAGGUAACGGCACACCAAGCUUUCGAUGGUUAGGGGUUCUGAGAGGAAGGACCCCCGCAUUGGAACUGAGACACGUUCCAAGCGCCAACAGGAGGAAGCAGUGGGGGAUAUUGGGCAAUGGGCGUUAGCCUGAACCAGCCAAGUAGCGUGAAGGAUGAAUGCUUGUGGGUCGUAAACUUCUUUUGUAAAAGAAUAUGUAUUAUAUGAAUAAGGAUCGGCUAACUCCGUGCCAGCAGCCGCGGUAAUAC
rnacentral:rRNA from 1 species